AGUUCAGAUCGCAGUCUGCAACCCGACUGCGUGAAGUCGGAAUCGCUAGUAAUCGCGGAUCAGCAUGCCGCGGUGAAUACGUUCCCGGGCCUUGUACACACCGCCCGUCACACCAUGAGAGUUGGGAACACCCGAAGUCCGUAGCCUAACCGCAAGGGGGACGCGGCCGAAGGUGGGUUCAAUAAUUGGGGUGAAGUCGUAACAAGGUAAC
rnacentral:rRNA from 1 species